CACGGCGGACAUCUUGUCGGGUUUUGGUAGGACGGUGGGAGGAGAGGCAUACGAGCUCUGGUUUGGUUGUGAGGUGACGGGAGCGGGACAGGGCAGGAGAAGUCUCCUCUCCACUGCAAAGAGAUUCGGCGGUGGCAGCGCUGGAAAAGAUCUGAGUCUGGACCUGGGAUCCUCAGGCUCCGCAGGGUCCAGACCUUGAUGGCGGCGGCCACGGGGGUGGGCCCGGUGUAGCUCCUCUGUGGUUGCUGAAUUAUAACAGAGCAAGGAACUCUGAGUGCCUGACUGAGGUCAUGACUCCAGCCACAGCAAGAGUGUCUUGGACAGGCCCUGGCUGUUGGCGUGGAGCAGAGGAUGAAGAGGCACCUUUUGAGCAGAGCGUUUCUAUAGAAGUUCAUACUUC